rnacentral:rRNA from 1 species
AGGACGAACGCUGGCGGCGUGCUUAACACAUGCAAGUCGAGCGGUAAGGCCCUUCGGGGUACACGAGCGGCGAACGGGUGAGUAACACGUGAGCAAUCUGCCCUUCACUCAGGGAUAACUUCCGGAAACGGUGGCUAAUACCUGAUGCGACCACCUCCUGCAUGGGAUGGUGGUGGAAAGUUCGUGGCGGUGGAGGAUGAGCUCGCGGCCUAUCAGCUUGUGGUGAGGUAUGGCUCAC